rnacentral:ncRNA from 1 species
GUUCAAGUACAAGCCGUAAUAAGGCGAAACCGCUCAUUUAUCAGUUAUGAAUCUUUGGAUCGUACCUUACUGCUCGGAUAACUGUGGCAAUUCUAGAGCUAAUACAUGCAGCAGAGCUCCGAUCCUCUGGGGACGAACGCUUUUACUAGACCAAAACCAAUCGAAACUCGUGUCCGUAUUAUGUGGUGACUCUGUAUAACUUUGGGCUGAUCGCACAGGCUCGUCCCGGGGACGUAUCUUUCAAUAUUCGCUUGUUGUAAGAU